CGCUGGCGGCGUGCCUAACACAUGCAAGUCGAGCGAGGAGAUCCUUCGGGAUGAUCCUAGCGGCGGACGGGUGAGUAACACGUGGGCAACCUGCCUCAUAGAGAGGAAUAGCCUUCCGAAAGGGAGAUUAAUACCUCAUAACAUUGCAGUUUCGCAUGGAACAGCAAUUAAAGGAGUAAUCCGCUAUGAGAUGGGCCCGCGGCGCAUUAGCUAGUUGGUGAGGUAAUGGCUCACCAAGGCGACGAUGCGUAGCCGACCUGAGAGGGUGAUCGGCCACAUUGGGACUGAGACACGGCCCAGACUCCUACGGGAGGCAGCAGUGGGGAAUAUUGCACAAUGGGGGAAACCCUGAUGCCAGCAACGCCGCGUGAGUGAUGACGGCCUUCGGGUUGUAAAGCUCUGUCUUCAGGGACGAUAAUGACGGUACCUGAGGAGGAAGCCACGGCUAACUACGUGCCAGCCGCCGC
rnacentral:rRNA from 1 species